UAAUACGUAGGUGGCGAGCGUUAUCCGGAUUUACUGGGCGUAAAGAGGGCGCGGGCGGCUUUUCAAGUCGAAUAUAAAAUCUCCCGGCUUAACUGGGAGGGACUAUUCGAUACUGUUGGGCUAGAGAGCAGCAGAGGGAGGUGGAAUUCCCGGUGUAGUGGUGAAAUGCGUAGAUAUCGGGAGGAACACCAGUGGCGAAGGCGGCCUCCUGGGCUGUUGCUGACGCUGAGGCCCGAAAGCGUGGGGAGCAAACAGGAUUAGAUACCCUGGUAGUCCACGCCAUAAACUAUGGACACUAGGUAUAGGGGGUAUCGACCCCCUCUGUGCCGAAGCUAACGCUUUAAGUGUCCCGCCUGGGAACUACGGCCGCAAGGCUA
rnacentral:rRNA from 1 species